GACGAACGCUGGCGGCGUGCCUAAUACAUGCAAGCCGAGCGCAGGAAACUGACGGAACUCUUCGGAGGGAAGGCAGUGGAAUGAGCGGCGGACGGGUGAGUAACACGUAAGGAACCUGCCUCAAGGAUUGGGAUAACUCCGAGAAAUCGGAGCUAAUACCGGAUAGUUCAACGGACCGCAUGGUCCGCUGAUGAAAGGCGCUCCGGCGUCACCUUGAGAUGGCCUUGCGGUGCAUUAGCUAGUUGGUGGGGUAACGGCCCACCAAGGCGACGAUGCAUGGCCGACCUGGGAGGGUGAUCGGCCACACUGGGACUGAGACACGGCCCAGACUCCUACGGGAGGCAGCAGUAGGGAAUCUUCCACAAUGGACGAAAGUCUGAUGGAGCAACGCCGCGUGAGUGAUGAAGGUUUUCGGAUCGUAAAACUCUGUUGUAAGGGAAGAACACGUACGAGAGGAAAUGCUCGUACCUUGACGGUACCUUACGAGAAAGCCACGGCUAACUACGUGCCAGCAGCCGCCGUAA
rnacentral:rRNA from 1 species